CAGCAGCCACGGGAAUACGUAGGGUGCAAGCGUUAAUCGGAAUUACUGGGCGUAAAGCGUGCGCAGGCGGUUCGCUAAGACAGAUGUGAAAUCCCCGGGCUUAACCUGGGAACUGCAUUUGUGACUGGCGGGCUAGAGUAUGGCAGAGGGGGGUAGAAUUCCACGUGUAGCAGUGAAAUGCGUAGAGAUGUGGAGGAAUACCGAUGGCGAAGGCAGCCCCCUGGGCCAAUACUGACGCUCAUGCACGAAAGCGUGGGGAGCAAACAGGAUUAGAUACCCCGGUAGUCCCUGUCUCUUAUAC
rnacentral:rRNA from 1 species